rnacentral:sRNA from 1 species
AGGAAAUGAACUGAGCAAGGCAGGGGCACUUGCUUGUGGGAUGGCUCAGUGCCAAGGCCCGAUCUCCUUCUGCAGAGUUUGCCUUCUGCCAGGUGGAUGCCUCCAUCGCUCUGGCCCUGGCCCUGGCCGUCCUGUGUGAUCUGCUCCAGCAGUGGGACCAGCUGGCCCCUGGACUGCCCAUCCUGCUGGGAUGGCUGUUGGGAGAGAGUGAUGACCUCGUGGCCUGUGUGGAGAGCAUGCAUCAGGUGGAAGACUACCUGUUUGAAAAAGCAGAAGUCAACUUUUGGGCGGAGACCCUGAUCUUUGUGAAAUACCUCUGCAAGCACCUCUUCUGUCUCCUCUCGAAGUCCAGCUGGCGUCCCCCAAGCCCUGAGAUACU